GUGAAUCAUCAAAUUUUUGAACGCAAAUUGCACUCUCUUCUGAGAGUAUGCCUGUUUGAGGUUCAGCCUAAAAAAAAAUCUACAUAGUCUCUGUUUCGCUGUAACUUUCUUCGGAAAUUGUUUCAUCUUAAACCUUUGUGAUUUAAACGGCUUAAAAUUUUCUUAACGAUUCCACUAACGUUUCUAAGAGUUACAUCUUAUACGUUU
rnacentral:misc_RNA from 1 species